UACAGAGAUCUCAAGCGUUGUUCGGAUUCAUUGGGCGUAAAGGGUGCGUAGGCGGCGCGGUAAGUCGGGUGUGAAAUCUCGGAGCUUAACUCCGAAACUGCAUUCGAUACUGCCGUGCUUGAGGACUGGAGAGGAGACUGGAAUUUACGGUGUAGCGGUGAAAUGCGUAGAUAUCGUAAGGAAGACCAGUGGCGAAGGCGGGUCUCUGGACAGUUCCUGACGCUGAGGCACGAAGGUCAGGGGAGCAAACGGG
rnacentral:rRNA from 1 species